GGCUGGGGUUCUGUGUGAAUGACCUGCUAACUCCAGAGUAACUGGGACACCUUGAGUGACACUCUGGGAGUGAGAACAGAGGGCAAGGAGGAUGGGCUGUGCCACAGGUGGGCUUCUGAGUGGUCCUGCAUGGUCCCUGAGAACACUGGUGGAUGCUUAGCAGAAUGUGUGACUUCAGAAAAUGCUGUGCCUGACCCCAGGCUUCUGUGCUCCUCUGCAAAGCCUGCUUGGUGUUACUUAAGUUGUGAGUCAUUUACUCAAAUGCUGGGAGAAGUGUCUUUUGAAAUAAGUUAUCCAGCACUUUUUGGGAAAGGAGCAAGGGGUGAGGAAGCAGUCACAGCUUCAGAAAAACUCAAAUUGUCACUGAAAAUGACAGUGAGAAAUGAAAAUGAGAGGAAGCCAUUGCUGCUGGCGGACGAUGGUGUCAGUCCUCCCCUUUCUGACCCAGUGCAGGACAGCAGCCUCUUGCCAGAGCUGCUCUACGUGUACUGAGUACAGAGCUGGCCCCUUAACCCUGGGGAUUCCUCUGGAAUCCUCUGAUUCCUUCCCCCUCAGGGAAAUCCCAGAGCCCUCCCUUGGAGACACUUAACCACAGAGUUCCCCACACCUGGGUGCACAGAAAGCUCUUCCUCGUGGGCUUUUGCUUAACACUGAUCAUCCCAGUUCCUUUCCCCUAUGUCCCACCCUGCCCUGGUUUCUCCUUUCCGUGUUUCCUCCUUGGUUGUGGUACCCCUUCCUCCCUGAAAGCCGAGGCCCUUUGCCCUGCCCUUGGUACUGCCCCCAUCUCUUCCCCUGCUUAAACUUGGUGCAGAGCUCCUGCUUUUUCUUUUGUCUCUAGUUCCCUUUUGGGGUGCUGAAAUAAACCUCGCCGAACUGGCCAUACAAGAGGCCCUUCUGCCUCUCCUCGCUGAGCUAGCCAGGGAAUGUGACUCCUGUCCUUGACCUCCUCUGCAGAUAAAUACAACUUGUCCUUUAGUGUCGAGCGGUUUGGGAAGAACGUCAGGCAGACAAGAGAGGGGAGGUAGAGGAAAGACAGGUGAGGAUGUUUUAUAUCUGCUCUUCUUCUGAACCAUCAAAACAGGGUCUCAGCACAUGCAAGUGCAGGCUCCAGCCACAACAAGGGGGAAGAAACAAUCCAUAAGAAAGGGGGGCAGGUGAGUUCCCCCAGCCCCUGGCUCUGCAGGCUCUGGAUUGGGAGCUUUCAGACAGUGGGUGCCUGUACACAGCUCUGCUGGGACCUGCCUGGGCUGGGAAUGCUGCACGGGUGAGCUGGUCCAGGGCAAGGGCUGGGCUGCCUGCCUCAGCCUGGGCAAGAACACUAACAAAACACAAGCCCACCAGAGUGUAUCCCAAAAUCUGCUUCUUGUGCUGGCAAGGCAAGAACAAGUGGUGGUGUUUCUGUGCUGGGAGUAUUGCUGGAAUGAUCUGCUGUCAGUCUAGGCUGUGAUGGGAGCUGGGCUCUCUGCUUCUGCAGUGUGGGAAUUGCCUUUUCCAGCUGCCAAUCUCAAAGUCAAGCUUUCUGAGCACAAAUAAAAUGGGAUAUUGCGCACACACACAA